AUAAUAGCGAAAGAUAUCACUUGCACUUCCUUCCUUUCUGAUUCUUCCUUUCUUUUAUUCUUUUUUUUUGAUUGACAUCACUGCACUUACUAAUAUAUCUGAGCUAUUGCUGGAGUCUCUUGCAAAGGGUACAGUCCAUCAAAGUAACUGUUCCUGAAGUGGUGUGUUGUACUGGUAUUUGCUGCCAGGGUGAGAAAUGAAGCUACAUUGCUGAACAGCAGCAUGGCUGAAUGCUUUUCCUUCUUUCCCUGAAGUUCCUGUUGUGGAUGGAAAAGAUAACUGAGUUAAUGACACCAGAAUCUGAUCAGAAACAGUUUUGCUUGCUCUUAUAACUUGAUUGAGGAAUGCUCAACCAGGAGUCUCUUAUUUAAAUCCAGAGGACCCAUUUGACAGAGAGGAGUCUCUUCUGGCUGAAGACAUUCACAGGAUUCUCAUGCACAGGCUUCUCUUUCUUAGUCCCUAGUGAUGUUCAUGGGUUUAGAUAUAACUGUACUGGGAUUACAUGAGUCAAUUUGCUCCAGUUUGGCAACUCAUCACACAAACACUUGCCUCAUGUGUAGAUAUGGAGAAAUGUUCGCAUUACCAUUAUGCAAAUUUAGGUGCCUUUGGAAAGAGUACAGAGAACUCACAUUUCUUUAUUACAUCUCUCAUGGGGCAGUAACUGAACAAUAUCCUUUCUCUCUCAUUAAGCUGAAAUCCUAUUUCAGUGUAAACUAAGUUUAUUGAGAUUCCUAGGUUUGUUACUGUUCAGUUUAGCUAGCAGACAACAUUUUGAGAGAAAUUUGGACUACUUGUCUGGCAAAUACUUGAACUCAGUAUUUGAAAUCAUCAUUGCCUAAUAAAAUACUCCGAAUAAUUUAAGGCAGAACACAGUUGGCAUUCUCAUCUAGCAGAACUGGGCAGAUGAUGCUCUUUGAAGACGUUAAUUAUUUUUUUUUUCCCUGAAAGGAUGUUUGCUGUAUGUUAGCUUUGUCAAGCUUUGAUUUAACUAACUAAUAUUAGAGCCUUGUGUCUUGGCUGUGAUGCUAUAUAAAUCUAAUGCAGUAUUUGCAAUCUGUUGCAAUGUUUGUUCUGGUAACUAUCUGUAUCUGCAGAAAUAAUUCCUGCUGUUGUCCUAUAUGAAAAUAAAUAAAAUAUAAAAUAAAAAAAAAAAAAAAAAAAAAAAAAAAAAAAAAAAAAAAAAAAAAAAAAAGGAAAAU
rnacentral:lncRNA from 7 species